GUAGGGAAUAUUGGACAAUGGGGGGAACCCUGAUCCAGCCAUGCCGCGUGGAGGAAGACUGCCCUCUGGGUUGUAAACUCCUUUUAUAUGGGAAGAACCGUCCUCAUUAAUGAGUGACCUGACGGUACCAUAGGAAUAAGCACCGGCUAACUCCGUGCCAGCAGCCGCGGUAAUACGGAGGGUGCAAGCGUUAUCCGGAUUCACAGGGUUUAAAGGGUGCGUAGGCGGAUAAAUAAGUCAGUGGUGAAAUCAACGGGCUCAACCUGUUAACUGCCAUUGAUACUGUGUAUCUUGAAUAUGAGAGAGGUAGGCGGAAUGUUGCAUGUAGCGGUGAAAUGCUUAGAUAUGCUACGGAACACCGAUUGCGAAGGCAGCUUACUAUUUCGUAAUUGACGCUGAGGCACGAAAGCGUGGGUAGCGAACAGGAUUAGAUACCCGUGUAGUCC
rnacentral:rRNA from 1 species